rnacentral:pre_miRNA from 1 species
UGAGUACUCCCUCCGUCCGGAAAUAUUUGUCAUCAAAAUGGAUAAAAGAAGAUGUAUCUAGACGUAUUUUAGUUCUAGAUACAUCCUUUUUGUUCAUUUUGAUGACAAGUAUUUCCGGACGGAGGGAGUAUAAG